CCUACGGGUGGCAGCAGUGGGGAAUAUUGCACAAUGGGGGAAACCCUGAUGCAGCAACGCCGCGUGAAGGAAGACGGUUUUCGGAUUGUACACUUCUGUUCUUAGUGAAGAAUAAUGACGGUAGCUAAGGAGCAAGCCACGGCUAACUACGUGCCAGCCGCCGCGGUAAUACGUAGGUGCCAAGCGUUGUCCGGAGUUACUGGGUGUAAAGGGAGCGCAGGCGGGAAGACAAGUCAGCUGUGAAAACUACGGGCUUAACUUGGAGACUGCAGUUGAAACUGUUUGUCUUGAGUGAAGUAGAGGUUGGCGGAAUGCCGAGUGUAGCGGUGAAAUGCGUAGAGAUUCGGAGGAACACCGAUGGCGAAGGCAGCCAACUGGGCUUUAACUGACGCUGAGGCUCGAAAGUGUGGGGAGCAAACAGGAUUAGAUACCCUUGUAGUC
rnacentral:rRNA from 1 species